UGAGUAAGCCAGAUGAUCGCGUAUACAGUGCCGAAAGGCCGUAUAUGAGGAAAGUCCGGGCUCCACAGGGCAGGGUGCCGGGUAACUCCCGGUGAAGGCGACUUCAAGGAAAGUGCAACAGAGAUAUACCGCCGCGGGAUUUAGACGCGGGGACGGUUCUUGCGUCUCGCAGAUCGAGACGCAAGAACCGUCCCCGGAGUCCGGCCUCCGCGGUAAGGGUGGAAAGGUGAGGUAAGAGCUCACCAGCAGCAUGGCGACUUGCUGACUAUGUAAACCCCACCUGGAGCAACACCGUAUUAGGGACGAUAAAGUGGCCCGCUAGUCCCGGGUAGGUGGCUUGAACUGUACAGAAAUGUACAGUCUAGAUAGAUGAUCAUCGAAUACAGAACCCGGCUUAUAGGCUCACUCAUACA
rnacentral:RNase_P_RNA from 1 species